rnacentral:rRNA from 1 species
CUACGGGGGGCAGCAGUGGGGAAUAUUGCACAAUGGGGGAAACCCUGAUGCAGCAACGCCGCGUGGAGGAUGACACAUUUCGGUGCGUAAACUCCUUUUAUAGGUCAAGAUAAUGACGGUAGCCUAUGAAUAAGCGCCGGCUAACUCCGUGCCAGCAGCCGCGGUAAUACGGAGGGCGCAAGCGUUACUCGGAAUCACUGGGCGUAAAGAGCAUGUAGGCGGGUUAAUAAGUCAGAAGUGAAAUCCAAUAGCUCAACUAUUGAACUGCCUUUGAAACUGUUAACCUGGAGUGUGGGAGAGGUAGAUGGAAUUUCUGGUGUAGGGGUAAAAUCCGUAGAGAUCAGAAGGAAUACCGAUUGCGAAGGCGAUCUACUGGAACAUUACUGACGCUGAGAUGCGAAAGCGUGGGGAGCAAACAGGAUUAGAUACCCGAGUAGUC